rnacentral:rRNA from 1 species
UCAGAUGUGAAAGCCCGGGGCUCAACCUCGGAACCGCAUUUGAAACUGGCAGGCUAGAGUCUUGUAGAGGGGGGUAGAAUUUCAGGUGUAGCGGUGAAAUGCGUAGAGAUCUGAAGGAAUACCAGUGGCGAAGGCGGCCCCCUGGACAAAGACUGACGCUCAGAUGCGAAAGCGUGGGUAGCAAACAGGAUUAGAUACCCUGGUAGUCCACGCCGUAAACGCUGUCUACUUGGAGGUUGAGGUUUAAGACUUUGGCUUUCGGCACUAACGCAUUAAGUAGACCGCCUGGGGAGUACGGCCGCAAGGUUAAAACUCAAAUGAAUUGACGGGGGCCCGCACAAGCGGUGGAGCAUGUGGUUUAAUUCGAUGCAACGCGAAGAACCUUACCUACUCUUGACAUCCAGAGAACUUUCCAGAGAUGGAUUGGUGCCUUCGGGAACUCUGAGACAGGUGCUGCAUGGCUGUCGUCAGCUCGUGUUGUGAAAUGUUGGGUUAAGUCCCGCAACGAGCGCAACCCUUAUCCUUGUUUGCCAGCACGUAAAGGUGGGAACUCCAGGGAGACUGCCGGUGAUAAACCGGAGGAAGGUGGGGACGACGUCAAGUCAUCAUGGCCCUUACGAGUAGGGCUACACACGUGCUACAAUGGCAGAUACAGAGGGCAGCGAAGCUGCGAAGUGGAGCGAAUCCCUUAAAGUCUGUCGUAGUCCGGAUUGGAGUCUGCAACUCGACUCCAUGAAGUCGGAAUCGCUAGUAAU